UCCUAUCAAGAAGUUUCUAAGAGUAUUGAUAUUUUAUUUCUUAAAAAUCUUUUAUUUAUACAGGUUAGUCCCUUGAGACUCAGCCUCUCAUUUACAAGAGAGACCUGUUUAAACACAUAAAAAUACAACAAUUUACGACAGCAAUUACACAUUUAAAAGUGUCCCAACUUAUGGCUUAAAAUCUCAUGACAAAAGUACAAUUUCCUAUAGACCCUAUCUCCAGUCCUUUUAAUGAAGUGUAACCAGACUGGAUACAGCUUCAGGUCCUGCUGUAGUGUGCUCCAGCUGGAGGGGCCUGAGAAGGAGAAGGCCUUUUUCCACAGCUCUGUGUGAAAUGCUGGAACUCUGAACAAAAUGUAGUGCUAUAAGCGAUUGUUUGUUUUGCAUCUAAAGUACUGAGACAAGUAUGGUGGCACCAUAUGAAGAAUAGAUUUAGAAAGCAACAAAUACCAGUGCAGCGGUGAGUAGUUUUUACUGUCUGUGAUGAAUCUAAGCGCUCCAUG